UCCUUUGCCAUGCCGCUGCAAGGUCAUAAAGUAGAUAAAACUUAAGUUGCAAUUCCGGUUUUCCUCAAGAUCUGAGACAUGUUAAUUGUCUUUGUUUCUCGCUCUGGUAACAUCUUCCCGCUGCACAUAUUUCCCGCCUUAAAGAGUUUAAAAGGUGAUCAAAAAAUCUAACACUGGCCACCCGCUCGGGACACCUUCCACGCUGUGGAAGCUUUGUACUGUCAUUCUGCUCAGUAAAGCCUACAGCCUUUUUUCUCUCGGUCGGGUCCACGUCUCUCUCUCUUGCCGCGGGCUGCCGCCACCCCAACCCUUUGGCGUGGCUAAGGCAACAACCUUUGGUGUUACCCUGGUUUGCAAAGAGGAAUGCCCUCUCCAAACAUGCCUAUCGAAUAAGGUCCUGUUCAUGAUGCAAAUCUCUAUGUGAUCUUCCUCCGGAAUUCUUGAGCCCAUUCCUGGAACUGUGUGAUAACUUGCCCAGAAAAUCUUCUUGUGGAAUCUGUCUUUACAUGGAAAAGACUUGGCAAUAUUUGUACAGCAACUGGAAGAAAGGUCUUUGCUGAGAUAUACAAAGAGGCAGAAUGUGUGUGGAUCACCGAUUAGACAAGGCGAAUAGGAGCAGAAUAGAAGAGGAAUGGAAUAGAACUCAAGAGCAACACUCAUUAGAACGGCCAAUAUCCAAAACACUGGCAACACCAAAUGUGGCAAGGAUGCGAAAUAGCAGUAGCUCUCAUUCAUUGCUGGUGGAAAUGCAAAAUGAUACAGACCCUUUGCAAAACGGUUCAGCAACUUCAUAGGAAAAGAGUAUGCUGAGUGUUGUUCUAUCUCAUUGUUGCUUU
rnacentral:lncRNA from 1 species